ACACAUUACAAUGACGGUGUCUGGAUGACCAAGGUCUCACCUGCUCAAUCUUCAUGCAGAUCCCCCCCAUCACCAUAUAAAUAAUAAUUUAAAAAACUUCAGAAAAUUAAAUGUUUCUGACUUUGUGUACGGUGCUAAGAAAGCAUUAACUCAAGAGUUGCAUUGAAAAGGGGCCCCAAAAUAUCUCUUGGACUGGGAAACACUACCUGUCACAUUCAGUAUGCUAAGUAAGUAUGAAAUAUAUCAAAAAGACAAAACUUUGUGGGAUACGACCAUUUUAAUGUAUCUUUUAGUCAUAUUUAGUCAACCAAUAAAUUUCUGUUCCAUUACUGUAAAUUGGCCAAUGCCUGUAUAGUAAAACCUGACCAUUUCAAAAUUGCAAGGCUGAAUGUCUUUUGAAUAACACUGCUUGUCCUGUACUAUUCUUAUGAGAAACAUAUCUAUAUUUUUUGGUUACAUAUGUUGUCAUUUGUUAAUUAGUAUAGUGUGUAAACUCUCAGACAGGUUGGGGGAGCAAAUUGCAAAGUGCUGCACAGAUUAACACAGUGUCAUCCAGGACUGGAACAAGAGUAACUGGCCCAUUUCAUCCUCCCAACAGCCCGUUCAAUGUGAAUCCUGGCAUUUGCAAUUUUUCUCAUCUUUGCAACAUCAGCAGCAGGUACCAUCCACCACCAGUAGUCUUCAUCAACCUCGACAUCCAUUAUUAUUUGUUUACUUUUAGUCUUAAAUACUCCCCCCCAAAAGAAACACAUUACAUAUCAUGUCACCUACACUUUAAAUGCUGCCUAGUACUUAUUCUAGAUACUCUGUAGGCCUGGUUGAUUCUGUGAGAAUUAGACUGUCUUCUCUAAGAGGGAGACAUAUUCUGUCCAUGCAUGAUUCUUUAUGUAACUUUGUGGAUAGUGUGCAUCUACUGGUUUUCCUAUCCAACUUAUUAGCUCACCCUGUGGCCAUUCUACGAUGCCAAAAUUAGGUCUUUAUUUUUUUGUUUCUCUUGGUUUCCAUUUUAUAGAGUGCAAUAGGCCCCAGACCUGGGGUCUAUAGUUUGUCCUGCAUUUUAUCAUGUGUGUUUUCAGGUUGCUCUUUCGCCAAAUCUCUGACCACAUCAGAACAGACAAAUGGUUUUUGUCCUGUAUGAAUCAUCAUGUGUUUUUUCAGGUUGCCCUUUAGUGCAAAUCUUCGACCACAUUCAGAACAGCCAAAUUGUUUUUGUCCUGUAUGAGUUAUCAUGUGUGUGUUCAGAAUGCUCUGUUGUCCAAAUUUUCGACCACAUUCGGAACAGCCAAAUUCUUUUUGACCUGUAUGAGUUAUCAUGUGUCUGUUCAGGUUGCUCUUUUGUCCAAAACUUUGACCACA